UGGAAACUNUCUGGCUUGAGUGCAGAAGGGGAGAGUGGAAUUCCANGUGUAGCGGUGAAAUGCGUAGAUAUAUGGAGGAACACCAGUGGCGAAAGCGGCUCUCUGGUCUGUCACUGACGCUGAGGCUCGAAAGCGUGGGUAGCGAACAGGAUUAGAUACCCUGGUAGUNCACGCCGUAAACGAUGAGUGCUAGGUGUUAGGCCCNUUCCGGGGCUUAGUGCCGGAGCUAACGCAAUAAGCACUCCGCCUGGGGAGUACGACCGCAAGGUUGAAACUCAAAGGAAUUGACGGGGGCCCGCACAAGCGGUGGAGCAUGUGGUUUAAUUCGAAGCAACGCGAAGAACCUUACCAGGUCUUGACAUCCCGAUGCUAUUCUUAGAGAUAGGAAGUUACUUCGGUACAUCGGAGACAGGUGGUGCAUGGUUGUCGUCAGCUCGUGUCGUGAGAUGUUGGGUUAAGUCCCGCAACGAGCGCAACCCUUAUUGUUAGUUGCCAUCAUUAAGUUGGGCACUCUAGCGAGACUGCCGGUAAUAAACCGGAGGAAGGUGGGGAUGACGUCAAAUCAUCAUGCCCCUUAUGACCUGGGCUACACACGUGCUACAAUGGUCGGUACAACGAGUUGCGAGCCGGUGACGGCAAGCUAAUCUCUGAAAGCCGAUCUCAGUUCGGAUUGGAGGCUGCAACUCGCCUCCAUGAAGUCGGAAUCGCUAGUAAUCGCGGAUCAGCACGCCGCGGUGAAUACGUUCCCGGGCCUUGUACACACCGCCCGUCACACCACGAGAGUUUGUAACACCCGAAGUCGGUGAGGUAACCUUUUAGGGGCCAGCCG
rnacentral:rRNA from 1 species